AUGAACAUAAACAGAUGCUGCAAGCAGAUGCUCGAGUGUUCCCAGCAUACCUAUCUAAUUAUUUUAGGCACUGAGAAUAGCUCGGGUCUGGUACAUGACAAACGCAGGAGUUCCCCCUCCAAGGGGUUAUGCCGAUCCGUGCAACAAACUCCCCAGCAAGGAAAGCUUCGGCUCGGGAAUUUCGGGGCACCCUGCAUGCCCCGGGCCAGCUCCCGGCGCCUCGCCCCUGCUCCCGGAAAGCAGGCUGGCACCUCGGGGUUGGGGACCCGUUUGCAAGAGAUGCAAGAAGAAGGCUCUCCUUACCUGCCGGUGGCCUUAACGGAGGUGCUUAGAGAGUUAAAAGGGCGUAAGAUCCAGCAGCUGGGGGGGACGCAGCAAGCCAAUCCCAAGGUGCCCGCCGGCCGCCGCCGCACCGCUUUGCAACUGAGCCACUCAAUGAGCCGCUGCCCCUUUUUGCGGGCUGCCAUGGGAUGUUUAAUAGCGGCCCGGCCGUCCCCGCCCUCGGCGCUAUCCCGGACCAAUGGGAGGCGGGAGGCCGGGCCGUGCCGAGCCGAGCCGAGCCGCGCGGGGCUGCGGGGAGAGCGGCGGAGCGGCCCCGGCCGGGGGGGAGCCGCGGGGCUGGGAGCGGGGCCGGGCGCGGGGCUGCCCCGCCGGGGGGCGCCGCGGGGCACGGAGAGCGCGGGGGCGGCUCGGAGGGGAGGAGGAGGUGGGAGAGCAAAAGCUCCGGAGCGCCCAUCCCCGGGGCGCCCAUCCCCGGAGCGCCCAGCCUCGGAGCGUCCAUCCCCGGAGCGUCCAUCCCCGGAGCGCCCAGCCCCGGAGCGCCCAGCCCCGGGGCGCCCAGCCCCGGGGCGCCCAGCCCCGGAGCUCCCAAGCCCCGGGGCACCCAAACCCCGGAACGCCCCGGAGCGCCCAUCCCUGGAGCAGCCAUCCCCAGAGCGCCCAAGCCCCGGAGCACCCCGAAGCACCCAAGCCCCAGAGCACCCAUCCCCGAAGCGCCCAUCCCCAGGGCACCCAUCCCCGGGACACCCAAGCCCCGGAGCGCCCAGCCCAGCCUUCCCCAAGCCCCAGGGCACCCACUCUGCCCCACAUCCACCGGUUGAGCCCGCGGGCACCGAGCACCUGCCCACGGGUGUUUUCCCCACCCCGUGUUGGGAAGGGUUUUAUGGGGAGCUUGUGAAGGUGCCGGGGGAUCUGCGUGCCUGCUCGCUCCGGUUUUCUCGUCUCGGGCUCGUGUCGGAGGGCCGGUGUAGGAAGAAACAAUAG
rnacentral:lncRNA from 1 species